AGGGGAUCUUCCCCACCCACGGACCCAAGCUGCAUCUCCUGCAUUUGCAGCUCUGGAGGCCAGACGUCUGAAAUCAAGGUGCUGUCAGGGAUGGCUCUUUCUGGAGGUUCUGAGGGAGACUGUUCCAUCUGUCUGUGCUCACUUCUGAGGACUGCCUGCCAUCCGUGCCACUCCUCAGCUUGUGGACGCCCCAGCCGAUGUCCUCAUCUUCACGUGCUGUUCUGUGCAUCUGGGUGUCUUCCCCUCUUCUCAGAAGGACACCUGUCUUUGGAUUUAGGGCCCACCUCCUCUUAAGACACUUUCCCCAAAUCAGGUCACAUUCUGGGUGAACAGAAAUUUGCAGGGGGAAGUCUAAUCUACCCCAGUACAGAGUUCCUCCUUCCUCCCUUUUGGUGGCACUGGUAACGUUUUCGUCUCUUCACUCUCCCAUAUUGGUUAUACAGUUAUCCCCCCUUAUCUGUGGGAAUACAUACCAAGGCCCCCAGUGGAUGUCUGAAACCACAGAUAUUGCCAAAUACUAUAACACACAUAUCUAUGAUAAAGUUUAUUAAGUUAAGCACAGUAAGAGAUUAACAACAAUAACUGAUAAUAACAUAGAACUGUGGUUAUAAAAAUAUAUGGUAAUAAGA